rnacentral:tRNA from 4 species
GGGGCCAUAGCUCAGCUGGGAGAGCGCCUGCUUUGCAAGCAGGAGGUCGGCGGUUCGAUCCCGCCUGGCUCCA